UUAGGAAUAUUGGUCAAUGGGUGCAAGCCUGAACCAGCCAUCCCGCGUGAAGGACGACUGCCCUAUGGGUUGUAAACUUCUUUUGUAUAGGGAUAAACCUACCCUCGUGAGGGUAGCUGAAGGUACUAUACGAAUAAGCACCGGCUAACUCCGUGCCAGCAGCCGCGGUAAUACGGAGGGUGCAAGCGUUAUCCGGAUUUAUUGGGUUUAAAGGGUCCGUAGGCGGACUUAUAAGUCAGUGGUGAAAGCCUGUCGCUUAACGAUAGAACUGCCAUUGAUACUGUAAGUCUUGAGUAUAUUUGAGGUAGCUGGAAUAAGUAGUGUAGCGGUGAAAUGCAUAGAUAUUACUUAGAACACCAAUUGCGAAGGCAGGUUACCAAGAUAUAACUGACGCUGAGGGACGAAAGCGUGGGGAGCGAACA
rnacentral:rRNA from 1 species